rnacentral:rRNA from 1 species
AGUGAACGCUGGCGGUAGGCCUAACACAUGCAAGUCGAACGGCAGCACAGUAAGAGCUUGCUCUUACGGGUGGCGAGUGGCGGACGGGUGAGGAAUACAUCGGAAUCUACUUUUUCGUGGGGGAUAACGUAGGGAAACUUACGCUAAUACCGCAUACGACCUACGGGUGAAAGCAGGGGAUCUUCGGACCUUGCGCGAUUGAAUGAGCCGAUGUCGGAUUAGCUAGUUGGCGGGGUAAAGGCCCACCAAGGCGACGAUCCGUAGCUGGUCUGAGAGGAUGAUGAGCCACACUGGAACUGAGACACGGUCCAGACUCCUACGGGAGGCAGCAGUGGGGAAUAUUGGACAAUGGGCGCAAGCCUGAUCCAGCCAUACCGCGUGGGUGAAGAAGGCCUUGGGGUUGUAAAGCCCUUUUGUUGGGAAAGAAAAGCAGCAGGUUAAUACCCCGCUGUUCUGACGGUACCCAAAGAAUAAGCACCGGCUAACUUCGUG